UCUGGUUGAUCCUGCCAGUAGUCAUAUGCUUGUCUCAAAGACUAAGCCAUGCAUGUCUAAGUAUAAACACCUUUAUACUGCGAAACUGCGAACGGCUCAUUAUAUCAGUUAUAAUCUACUUGAUCGUAUCCUCUUACUUGGAUAACCGUAGUAAUUCUAGAGCUAAUACAUGCAAAAGUUCCCGACUGGUGACGGAAGGGAAGUAUUUAUUAGGUCCAAAAUCAAUACUGGCCAUUCGGUCAGGAACUAUUGAUGAUUCAUAAUAACUAAACGAAGCGCAGGGCUUGUCUCGGCGCUGAUACAAACGAGUUUCUGCCCUAUCAACUUUCGAUGGUAGUAUAGGGGACUACCAUGGUCGUAACGGGUAACGGGGAAUUAGGGUUCUAUUCCGGAGAGGGAGCCUGAGAAAUGGCUACCACUUCCAAGGAAGGCAGCAGGCGCGCAAAUUACCCAAUCCUGAUUCGGGGAGGUAGUGACAAGAAAUACCAUUGGCGGACACUUUCGUGUACGCUAUUUGGAAUGAGUACAAUUUAAACACCUUAACGAGGAACAAUUGGAGGGCAAGUCUGGUGCCAGCAGCCGCGGUAAUUCCAGCUCCAAUAGUGUAUAUUAAAGUUGCUGCGGUUAAAAAGCUCGUAGUUGGAUUUCGAAAGUGUUUGUGUCAAAGCUCGCCCUUGUGGUGUGGCUCGACAUAUCCUUUCUAUUAUUGGACAGUGGGCAACCGCUUCCAAUCAUUUACUUUGAAAAAAUUAGAGUGUUCAAAGCAGGCGUAACCUUGCCAUUGAAUAUUACAGCAUGGGAUAAUAGAAUAUGACGUUGGUCUUAUUUUGUUGGUUUCUAAGGCUGAUGUAAUGAUUAAUAGGGAUAGUUGGGGUCGCUCGUAUUGAGUUGUCAGAGGUGAAAUUCUAGGAUUUACUCAAGACGAACUAAUGCGAAAGCAUUCGACAAGGAUGUUUUCAUUAAUCAAGAACGAAAGUUGGGGGAUCGAAGAUGAUCAGAUACCGUCGUAGUCUCAACCAUAAACUAUGUGGACCAAGGAUCCGAGGACGUUACAUGGAUGACUCUCCGGGCACUUUGUGAGAAAUCAUAA
rnacentral:rRNA from 1 species